AGUGAACGCUGGCGGUAGGCCUAACACAUGCAAGUCGAACGGCAGCACAGUAAGAGCUUGCUCUUACGGGUGGCGAGUGGCGGACGGGUGAGGAAUACAUCGGAAUCUACUUUUUCGUGGGGGAUAACGUAGGGAAACUUACGCUAAUACCGCAUACGACCUACGGGUGAAAGCAGGGGAUCUUCGGACCUUGCGCGAUUGAAUGAGCCGAUGUCGGAUUAGCUAGUUGGCGGGGUAAAGGCCCACCAAGGCGACGAUCCGUAGCUUGUCUGAGAGGAUGAUCAGCCACACUGGACCUGAGACACGGUCCAGACUCCUACGGGAGGCAGCAGUGGGGAAUAUUGGACAAUGGGCGCAAGCCUGAUCCAGACAUACCGCGUGGGUGAAGAAGGCCUUCGGGUUGUAAAGCCCUUUUGUUGGGAAAGAAAAGCAGCAGGUUAACACCCCGCUGUUCUGACGGUACCCAAAGAAUAAGCACGGGCUAACUUCGUG
rnacentral:rRNA from 1 species